UUGCCCCUGCUGUGUUCGUGAUCACCGUAAUUUCUCUGAAACAACACCCACGGUGUACGUAAACCUUAGCUUGCUUCGGUGUGCAUGUUCUGUAACUCACAGAAAAGCCUAAAGAAGCAACAAGGUCUAAACUUUGAAAUGGUUCUGGAGAGCUUCGUGACACGGCAUAUGGUGGGGGCAAU
rnacentral:other from 1 species